AUUGAACGCUGGCGGCAGGCCUAACACAUGCAAGUCGAACGGUAACAGGAAGCAGCUUGCUGCUUCGCUGACGAGUGGCGGACGGGUGAGUAAUGUCUGGGAAACUGCCUGAUGGAGGGGGAUAACUACUGGAAACGGUAGCUAAUACCGCAUAACGUCGCAAGACCAAAGGGGGGGACCUUCGGGCCUCUUGCCAUCGGAUGUGCCCAGAUGGGAUUAGCUAGUAGGUGGGGUAACGGCUCACCUAGGCGACGAUCCCUAGCUGGUCUGAGAGGAUGACCAGCCACACUGGAACUGAGACACGGUCCAGACUCCUACGGGAGGCAGCAGUGGGGAAUAUUGCACAAUGGGCGCAAGCCUGAUGCAGCCAUGCCGCGUGUAUGAAGAAGGCCUUCGGGUUGUAAAGUACUUUCAGCGGGGAGGAAGGGAGUAAAGUUAAUACCUUUGCUCAUUGACGUUACCCGCAGAAGAAGCACCGGCUAACUCCGUG
rnacentral:rRNA from 1 species